rnacentral:rRNA from 1 species
UUGACGUGGGCGGCGGGCUUACACAUGCAGUCGAGCGGUACAGGUCUAGCUUGCUAGACGCUGACGAGCGGCGGACGGGUGAGUAAUGCAUAGGAAUCUGCCCGAUAGUGGGGGAUAACCUGGGGAAACCCAGGCUAAUACCGCAUACGUCCUACGGGAGAAAGGGGGCUUCGGCUCCCGCUAUCGGAUGAGCCUAUGUCGGAUUAGCUAGUUGGUGAGGUAAAGGCUCACCAAGGCGACGAUCCGUAGCUGGUCUGAGAGGAUGAUCAGCCACAUCGGGACUGAGACACGGCCCGAACUCCUACGGGAGGCAGCAGUGGGGAAUAUUGGACAAUGGGGGCAACCCUGAUCCAGCCAUGCCGCGUGUGUGAAGAAGGCCUUAGGGUUGUAAAGCACUUUCAGCGAGGAAGAACGCCUGGCGGUUAAUACCCGCCAGGAAAGACAUCACUCGCAGAAGAAGCACCGGCUAACUCCGUGCCAGCAGCCGCGGUAAUACGGAGGGUGCAAGCGUUAAUCGGAAUUACUGGGCGUAAAGCGCGCGUAGGUGGCUUGAUAAGCCGGUUGUGAAAGCCCCGGGCUCAACCUGGGAACGGCAUCCGGGAACUGUCAGGCUAGAGUGCAGGAGAGGAAGGUAGAAUUUCCCGGUGUAGCGGUGAAAUGCGUAGAGAUCGGGGAGGAAUACCAGUGGCGAAGGCGGCCUUCUGGACUGACACUGACACUGAGGUGGCGAAAGCGGUGGGUAGCAAACAGGAUUAGAAUACCCUGGUAGUCCACGCGUAACGAAUGUCGACCAGCCGUUGGGUUGCUAGCGCCACUUUGUGGGCGAAGGUACGCGAUAGGUCGACCGCUGGGGAGUACGCCGCAGUUUAAACCUCAAUGAUUUGGACGGGGGCCGCCACAAGCCGUUUA